rnacentral:tRNA from 1 species
GGCCCAGUGGCUCAGUUGGUUAGAGUGCCGCCCUGUCACGGCGGAGGUCACGGGUUCGAGUCCCGUCUGGGUCG